GUGCUUGCCUCGGCAGCACAAAUACUAAAAUUGGAAGGAUACAGAGGGCAUCAGCAUGGCCCCUGUACAGGAUGAUACACAUUCGUGGCACGUUCCAUAGUUAA
ensembl:snRNA U6 U6 spliceosomal RNA